UACGUAGGGUGCAAGCGUUGUCCGGAAUUAUUGGGCGUAAAGCGCGCGUAGGCGGCCGCUUAAGUCGGAUGUGAAAGCCCCUGGCUCAACUGGGGAAGUGCACCCGAAACUGAGUGGCUUGAGUACUAAAGAGGGUCGCGGAAUUCCCGGUGUAGAGGUGAAAUUCGUAGAUAUCGGGAGGAACACCGGUGGCGAAGGCGGCCCACUGGAUCGGUACUGACGCUGAGGUGCGAAAGCGUGGGGAGCAAGCAGG
rnacentral:rRNA from 1 species